rnacentral:lncRNA from 1 species
CCCGCCCCCCCCCCCGCCGCCGCCACGGAGCCUUCCUCGUCGACCACUACUGCCACCGACACUGGUGGGUCGUCCAAUUCAGCUGCUCCCGACCCGGUUGUUCGUUCCGAUUCAGCUGUUGGACCUGUUGCCGUUCUGGCUCCUGGUUUAGCAUGGAAAUUGGUUACCUUGCCUAUAUCUGUGAUCUCCGGAAGCUUCGGAUUGAUCUCCGGCGCUGUAGGUCUUGGUCUGUGGGUUGCCGGUGGUGUUCUGUCCUACUCUCUGGGAAUGGUUGGGAUAGGAUCAAGUGCAGGCCGGAAUGGGGAGUCUUCAGCACGAUUAGCUCCGGUAUCUGCUUCCACGCGUGAGGCUACAGAUUUUGUGGCAGGGUUUGUGAGGGAGGAAGGCGGUCAGAUUUUGUGGCAGCAUUUGAGAGGGAGUAUGGCUCCAGAGGUCCCAACUUCGUGACGGAGGGUUUCAUGGACGCUCUUCAGCGGUCUAGAAACUCAUUCAAGCUGUUGUUUGUCUAUUUGCAUUCCCCCG